CCUCUGGAUUGAUUGUCCAUGAUCCGAUAGCCUUUGCGGAAAUCGAAGGGUCGGUUAUGGUGCGUUUUUCGGCGAAAUUCGCCGAAAGAACGCAGAUUCGAUUCGGAUUUCUUCCGACGUGGUUUGGUUGUCCGUUGAGUUGUUGCUGAGCCUUGUUGGCUGGUCACCAUCAUCAUUUUGUGGGUUCGAUGAUGACGGGUGAGCGAUGGUGGGUUCCGGUGUCGAAAUAGACACUUCCGGGAACCCGAAUCCGAACAAUUAUCCGACGAUAAUUGUUGGAUUGUGUUACGUUGUGUUUACUGACAAGACAUUCAAAUUGGUGUAUUUUGUGGCAGCGGGUGACUCGUGGUAUGAGUUGGUGAGUUUCGGGACACUUAGUGGGUCCCGACGGCGUCCCGAUGUGGUUUUCGGGACUUUCGGCGAGUUACGGUAAUCGGUAUUGGGAAACCGAUUUUCAUGAAAUUGUUUGUGAGGUUGUGGAUACUGUGAUUAUUAGUUGUGGGUUAGAUACUAACCCGGUGGACCCUCUAUAGGUCCUGUCGACAUUCUUUUGCAGUCAGGAGACAGACGCGAUAUCCUUACAGGUGGGUACUUCGAUCCGACGUCGGUACAGUGGUGCAUGCUUGG
rnacentral:lncRNA from 1 species